UACAGAGGUCCCAAGCGUUGUUCGGAUUCACUGGGCGUAAAGGGUGCGUAGGUGGCGAGGUAAGUCUGAUGUGAAAGCUCGGAGCUCAACUCCGAAAUGGCAUUGGAUACUACUUGGCUUGAGGUUCGGAGGGGAGACUGGAAUUCUUGGUGUAGCAGUGAAAUGCGCAGAUAUCGGGAGGAACACCUAUGGCGAAGGCAGCUCGCUGGGACGUUACUGACGCUGAGACGCGAAAGCGUGGGGAGCAAACAGG
rnacentral:rRNA from 1 species